UAAAUAUAAUCAUACACUAUAUAAUUUUUUAUGUAAUAUGUAAUUUUUUAUGUCAACCUUUGUAUUCAUUCAUUCUUUUGCAUAUCAUUUUCCGUUUAUCCCAGCACCAUUUGUUGAAGAGACUUCCCUCAUUGAAUGGUCUUGUCACCCUUGUCAAAAAUAAACUUCCCAAGGAUGAGUCUGUACCUCAGUGGUAGAGUGUUUGCCUAGCACAAGUGGCCAUGGAUUCAGUGCCCAGUACUGGAAAAAUAAUGACCAUUAACAUUAUCCUGUAGUUUUCAGUGUCUUUGAGUCUUGAACCUCUUUUAUUAAUUUACCUUGCGCUUGUGAGGCAGGAGGCAGAACCACUGAGGUAAAUCCCUUGCCCUGGAAUGUUUUUAAAUUUUUUUCACAAUGUAGGCAAAUGGCCAUAAAAUGGAACAAAAUAAAAUGAGGUAUGUCUGUGCUGGAUUUUAUAUUUAUUUGUGUAGUUACCUUUAUUUCUUCACAUGGCGUUGAUUUACUGUUUAGCGUCUUUUCAUUUUAACCUGAAGGACUCUAUUUAGUACUUCUUAUAGGGCAGGUUUGCUAGUGAUGAGGACCUCAACUUUUGAUUAUCUGGGAAUGUCUGAAUUUAUGCUUCAUUUUUGAAGAAUUGUUUUGCAACACAUAGAAUUCUUACUUGACAGAUUUUUUUCUUUUAUGACUUUAAAUAUGUCUUUCUAUUGCCCUAGUCUCCUUGACUGCUGAUGAGAAAUUAGCUUGUAUGUGACAAUCACUUUUCUCUUACUGCUUUCAACCAAGCCACAACUGUGUUCCUUUCCAACAAUUCAUCUGAUUCACUAUCCUCUCAGUGCAACUGGAAAAUUAUGAUGUGCUCAUCUUUCAAUCCCCCUACAGAUUAUUAUCAUCCUUGAAUGAGGAAAGAAAUGUAAAAGUGACAUACCUGAAGUCAUACUGUGAGCUAGGUCUGCUACUCAUAUGUCUGAUGGUUUAUUUCAUUAUAACACUGUGUAAAUGGUAAUUCUCUUGUUUAUAUAUUUUAUUUGUUGUCUGUGCUUUCACUGAAUGUAGACUCCAAAAGAACAGGAAUUUUUUUAUUGAUUAUAUAUAUAUAUAUAUAUUUCCUAUGUCUAGCUUUUAUCAUAGGUAUUUGUUGAAUGAAUGAAUGAUUAUAAAUUUGAUUCAAAUGAAAGAUCAGUGGGGAAAGUAGUUAAUUCAGAAUGUCCCCUGAAGGGAGCUUCUAUUUAAGAGCAUUGAGACCUCUCUAUCUUUAAGCAUCUUUUUACCAUCCUAGUGGUUUAGAUUAAGAACUCUUACAGAUAUUUUGGUCCAGGCUCUCAUCUUACAGAGAGAGAGAAUUUAGCCUCAAAGAUGGGUGAGACACCUAGGAAGGCUGUCAUGAAGCUUAAUUGGGAUUCAGAUGUACUACCCAGCAGUUGAAGGUAUUAUAGAACAUUGUCAUUGUGGAAUAUUAAGUUCUCUAAUGUCAUUUAGGAUGUAAAACUGUGAGAUUAGAGAAGCCAGAUUAUGGCACUGUUAGAGGCAAGAAUGAUAACACAGUUUUCUAUUUCCAUUGUUUUUACUGAAAAAAUUUUCUGCCUGUUUAUAAAAGUUGUUCACGAGGAGAAUUUGUCUCUUUUCCUCUUGCUGUUUUAAGCAUUUUUAUGGUUCUUUGGUUUAUAACAGCUUCACUGUGUUAUGCCGUGAAGGUUAAUUUUGAUUGCUAAUUUGAUUGGCUUGAGAGAUGUGUAGAAGAUUAGUAAAGCACACUUCUUCAGGUGUCUGAGUGAGUCACGGGCACAUGACCUUGGGGAUUAUACCUGGCCCCUGAUUCCCACUUGGCUUUUCUGUGCUCUCUGCUUCCUGGCUGCCAUGAGGUCAGCGGCUUUCUUCUGCUCUGUGCCUCCACUAUGAUAUUUCUGCUUUGGAGGCAGCUGAUCAUGGACUGAAACCUCUGAAACCAUGAAUCAAAAUAACGCUUUUCUCCUUUGUGUAUGUCAGGAGUUUUAUUCUAGAAUGGAAAGAUGAUUAAUACAUAUGCCUAUUUAUCUUGAUUUGAAUUUGUAAGUUUACUUGAAUAUAUAGUGUUUUUAGUUAGAAUUUUAAAAUUCUUACCCACUAGCUCUUCAAAUAUUGAUCUUCCCAAUUUUUUCUGUCUACUGCUGUUGAGCUCUGUAUUAGACCUUCUUUCUCCAUUCUAUAUAGCUCUUAUAUUCUCUUCAAUAUUUG
ensembl:lncRNA